UACGGAGGAUCCAAGCGUUGUCCGGAUUCAUUGGGUUUAAAGGGUGCGUAGGCGGAUCUUUAAGUCAGUGGUGAAAGCCUGCAGCUUAACUGUAGAAUAGCCAUUGAAACUGAAGAUCUUGAGUACAGUUGAAGUAGAUAGAAUGUAUCGUGUAGCGGUGAAAUGCUUAGAUAUGAUACAGAAUACCGAUAGCGAAGGCAAUUUGCUAAACUGUAACUGACGCUGAGGCACGAAAGCGUGGGGAGCGAACAGG
rnacentral:rRNA from 1 species